rnacentral:lncRNA from 1 species
GACGUCACAUUGUUGCUUGUUUUUACUUUUUUGAAAGAGCUACUCUCGAACGUAGAUUAGCCAUUGCCGUCGUGUCGGCUGCAAGACGUUCUGCGCGCGCUUGGCGCGCUUUUGUGCGUGUCGAAAGCGUAUAACGUGCGCGAUGUUCGUGCGAGCGCAGUUUGACUUGAGCAAUCGUGGGUUUGGACUCCGUGACAUUUGCUUUCGUCAUAUGCGAGUUAGGGGCUUGCCGACAGGUAAACCGCCGCUGUACUUAGAUGCAAAAGCUGCCUCCCUUAUCUGGAACAGAAUAAAUUCCUUUCGAAGGCAAAAUAAAAAACAGAAAGAGAAGUCA